ACAGACUGUAGCUUAAACAAAGCCCUUCGCUUACACCGAAACAAUGCCUAAUAAACCUGGGCCGCUCUG
rnacentral:tRNA from 1 species